rnacentral:tRNA from 1 species
GAGGCCCUAGUAAACUAAUUACUUAGUUCUGUCAGCACUAAAUAAUGGGUAAAAUCAAAG